CCUCGAGCCCCAGCCGGGGACAUGAUUUAAAGGGCCGCUCUCUGAGCGGCCCUUUUUAUUGGCGUGU
rnacentral:misc_RNA from 1 species